rnacentral:rRNA from 1 species
AUUGAACGCUGGCGGCAGGCUUAACACAUGCAAGUCGAGCGGAGAGAAGUAGCUUGCUACUGAUCUUAGCGGCGGACGGGUGAGUAAUGCUUAGGAAUCUGCCUAUUAGUGGGGGACAACAUUUCGAAAGGAAUGCUAAUACCGCAUACGUCCUACGGGAGAAAGCAGGGGAUCUUCGGACCUUGCGCUAAUAGAUGAGCCUAAGUCGGAUUAGCUAGUUGGUGGGGUAAAGGCCUACCAAGGCGACGAUCUGUAGCGGGUCUGAGAGGAUGAUCCGCCACACUGGGACUGAGACACGGCCCAGACUCCUACGGGAGGCAGCAGUGGGGAAUAUUGGACAAUGGGCGGAAGCCUGAUCCAGCCAUGCCGCGUGUGUGAAGAAGGCCUUAUGGUUGUAAAGCACUUUAAGCGAGGAGGAGGCUACUUUAGUUAAUACCUAGAGAUAGUGGACGUUACUCGCAGAAUAAGCACCGGCUAACUCUGUGCCAGCAGCCGCAGUAAAAC